rnacentral:rRNA from 1 species
GACGAACGCUGGCGGCGUGCUUAACACAUGCAAGUCGAACGAUGAACCCGGAGCUUGCUCUGGGGGAUUAGUGGCGAACGGGUGAGUAACACGUGAGUAACCUGCCCUGGACUCUGGGAUAAGCGUUGGAAACGACGUCUAAUACCGGAUAGGACCUUGGAUCGCAUGAUCUGGGGUGGAAAGUUUUUUCGGUCUGGGAUGGACUCGCGGCCUAUCAGCUUGUUGGUGAGGUAAUGGCUCACCAAGGCGUCGACGGGUAGCCGGCCUGAGAGGGUGACCGGCCACACUGGGACUGAGACACGGCCCAGACUCCUACGGGAGGCAGCAGUGGGGAAUAUUGCACAAUGGGCGAGAGCCUGAUGCAGCAACGCCGCGUGCGGGAUGACGGCCUUCGGGUUGUAAACCGCUUUUAGUAGGGAAGAAGGGCUUCGGCUUGACGGUACCUGCAGAAAAAGGACCGGCUAACUACGU